GACGAACGCUGGCGGCGUGCCUAAUACAUGCAAGUCGAGCGAGUCUGCCUUGAAGAUCGGAGUGCUUGCACUCUGUGAAACAAGAUACAGGCUAGCGGCGGACGGGUGAGUAACACGUGGGUAACCUGCCCAAGAGAUCGGGAUAACACCUGGAAACAGAUGCUAAUACCGGAUAACAACAGAUGAUGCCUAUCAACUGUUUAAAAGAUGGUUCUGCUAUCACUCUUGGAUGGACCUGCGGUGCAUUAGCUAGUUGGUAGGGUAACGGCCUACCAAGGCGAUGAUGCAUAGCCGAGUUGAGAGACUGAUAGGCCACAUUGGGACUGAGACACGGCCCAAACUCCUACGGGAGGCAGCAGUAGGGAAUCUUCCACAAUGGACGCAAGUCUGAUGGAGCAACGCCGCGUGAGUGAAGAAGGGUUUCGGCUCGUAAAGCUCUGUUGUUGGUGAAGAAGGACAGGGGUAGUAACUGACCUUUGUUUGACGGUAAUCAAUUAGAAAGUCACGGCUAACUACGUG
rnacentral:rRNA from 1 species